rnacentral:rRNA from 1 species
GAUGAACGCUGGCGGCGUGCCUAAUACAUGCAAGUCGAGUGAACGGACGAGAAGCUUGCUUCUCUGAUGUUAGCGGCGGACGGGUGAGUAACACGUGGAUAACCUACCUAUAAGACUGGGAUAACUUCGGGAAACCGGAGCUAAUACCGGAUAAUAUUUUGAACCGCAUGGUUCAAAAGUGAAAGACGGUCUUGCUGUCACUUAUAGAUGGAUCCGCGCUGCAUUAGCUAGUUGGUAAGGUAACGGCUUACCAAGGCAACGAUGCAUAGCCGACCUGAGAGGGUGAUCGGCCACACUGGAACUGAGACACGGUCCAGACUCCUACGGGAGGCAGCAGUAGGGAAUCUUCCGCAAUGAGCGAAAGCCUGACGGAGCAACGCCGCGUGAGUGAUGAAGGUCUUCGGAUCGUAAAACUCUGUUAUUAGGGAAGAACAUAUGUGUAAGUAACUGUGCACAUCUUGACGGUACCUAAUCAGAAAGCCACGGCUAACUACGUG